UGUAGUUGCAGUUUCUUGUGUUUCUUGUUUGUUUUAUUAUUUUAUCAUUUUCUCAUAUUUAUCAUAAUCUCACCAAAAUACAGUAUGCUCAAAAAUGAAAUAAACGACUCAAAAUAUAGUAGACCUCGAGAACAAUGAAUAUAAUCCAAGCUUCACAUUCAGGUGUUUCGAUCAGCUGAUUAUCGUAUGAUCGGCGCCAUCAUUGGUAGUGAUUUUUAUUUAUUGAACUCUCAUACCCUAUUUUGUUUUCAGUUGAAACACGAUAUAGAUGGUAUAUGAACAAUAUACUAGAUCGUUUUUUUCAAUUGAGAAUAUUCACGUUAAAAUGAUUGCACAUGUUUCAGGCGUUCCAUCAUCAGCAACUAAAGGUAUAUUUUGAUAUGGUUAUUUUCUUAGAUUGGCCACCAGAAAUAUUAGAUCUUCCGUUGAUUUCUCCACUCAUAUCGUAAAAAGAAGAGAGAACGUUGGUUGAGAUGAUUACAGUUGCUAAAAUGCUUUGGACCACCAAAACUAGAGGCCAUUAGACCAUACAUAGAUACAUUUCAAAUUAUAAUAUACUUGAUAUCGAAUUUAUUACGAACUCUAAAAUAUAGCGUCAAAUU